rnacentral:lncRNA from 1 species
CUGGUCUUGAGUUGGUAAUUAGUAGUGAUAAUGUCUACAUGCCAUCAAUAAAAAAACGAGUAUUGUGCUACUGCUGACCUUAGAGACCUAGCUGUAGUUCAGUUUCAGCUGCAAUUAUAUUUGAAAACAGUUAGCAAAAGUGAAGAGAGAAAACAGUAAAGAAUAGAGAAGAUAACAUGAAACAGAAAAGAAAAUAAAAGGAGAGAGGAAAAGAAAAUAAAGAAAACCCUCCCCUGCCUGAGUUGGCCGAGAGGCCCAGUUCCUUCCUCCUCUUUUCUUCUGGCGCAGUAACCAGCAGCAGCUGUGGCAAGUGGCCCAGCAAAUCACCAGAAGCCGGCC